rnacentral:rRNA from 1 species
UGGGGGGGCUUUUGGGGGAGCGGGGAGGGUUAGUACGCGUGGGACGUACCCUUCUCUACGGAAUAGCCUCGGGAAACUGAGAGUAAUACCGUAUACGCCCUUUGGGGGAAAGAUUUAUCGGAGAGGGAUCGGCCCGCGUUGGAUUAGGUAGUUGGUGAGGUAACGGCUCACCAAGCCGACGAUCCAUAGCUGGUUUGAGAGGAUGAUCAGCAACACUGGGACUGAGACACGGCCCAGACUCCUACGGGAGGCAGCAGUGGGGAAUCCUAGACAAUGGGGGAAACCCUGAUCUAGCCAUGCCGCGUGAGUGACGAAGGCCCUAGGGUCGUAAAGCUCUUUCGCCAGGGAUGAUAAUGACAGUACCUGGUAAAGAAACCCCGGCUAACUCCGUGCCAGCAGCCGCGGUAAUACGGAGGGGGUUAGCGUUGUUCGGAAUUACUGGGCGUAAAGCGCGCGUAGGCGGAUUAUUAAGUCAGAGGUGAAAUCCCGGGGCUCAACCCCGGAACUGCCUUUGAUACUGGUAGUCUUGAGUUCGAGAGAGGUGAGUGGAAUUCCGAGUGUAGAGGUGAAAUUCGUAGAUAUUCGGAGGAACACCAGUGGCGAAGGCGGCUCACUGGCUCGAUACUGACGCUGAGGUGCGAAAGCGUGGG